rnacentral:SRP_RNA from 1 species
GCGCAGUUGGAUGCACUGGUGGUCCUAGAUACUUGGGAAGAUGAGACAGGAGGAUUGCUUGAGUCCAGGAGUUCUAGACUGUAAUGCACUGUGCUGAUUGGGUGUUCGCAUUAAGUUCAGCAUCAAUAUAGUGACUUCCUGGGGGACCACCAGGUUGCCUAAGGAUGGGGGGGAAUGGCCCAGGUUGGAAAUGGAGCAGGUCAAAACUCCUGAUGCUGGUAGAGGAAUCGUGCCUAUGAAUAGCCACUGCAUUCCAGCCUGGGCAAAACAGAUCCCAUCUCU